rnacentral:lncRNA from 1 species
UUUAUAAAUAAGGUAACUAAUAAAAAUAUUGAUGCAUAUUUACACAGACACAUUGCCUUGUUAAAUAAAUUCCAUGUGUAAAAUCUUUUAUGAGGUGAAUUAGACUUUAAUGGUCAUUAGAAUAUGAAGAUGCAAUGUCUAUGUAACACCCUGUUUUUUCAACUUGAAUUUUUUUACAUAAAUCAGAGUAAAUAACUAAAACAGGAUGCUACACUUCUUUCAAAUAUAAAUAUAGUAAAGUUACUAUUUAUUUCAUUCAUCUCAUGUCAUCAAUUUAAAUCUCAAUGCAGCGGAAAACAUUUAAAUUCAACAUCGUGUUGGCACAACGGCAAAAUCAUCAUCCCGUUACGUAUAAGAGCGACCCUAAGACGACACGUGAGAGAGUCAAAUCACUUCAACAUCUAUUCUUGAUUACCUGCAAGUUACCCACGUAGAGGCAGCAUUUCCAAACAGAAGGGGUGAGAUUUCACAUUCAAUAACAAUAAGCAUAUAAUUCAUCAAAUGCAUUUAACAAUUUAAACAUCAUCAAUUAAUAACAAUAAUUUUUCAUAUAAUAUUUCAUUAAUAACUCAUUGAGAAAUGACCACUUAAAGACAACGACAAUGCGACAUCAACAACUUCUACUCGACAAUGCAACUUCAACUUCUUAAUCAUGCAUGUGGUACCAACCAGGGCAUCAAGCCCUCAACAUAUAGAGUAUAAUUAUACUCACGUGGCAUCAAGCCCUCAACUUAAGAGCAAAUAGGCUCACAGGGCAUCAAGCCCUCAACGUAAAGAGAAAAGGCUCACAGGGCAUCAAGUCCUCAACGUAAAGAGCAAAGGCUCACAUGGCAUCAAGCCCUCAACUUAUAUGAGUAUGCAUGGACUCAACAACUUACAACUUAGACAACUUCAACAACUUAUAUACCUCCAAUAUCUUGGAAUAACAACUUACAACUUUACAACUUAGACCAACACUUGCAAUUAAAUGAUAUUAUUAAAUCAAUAACAGCAGAGACAGCAACAUAAAGCAACUUACAUCAUAGCCAGAUUAAUACUAACAACUUGGAUGAUAUAAACACUAACAAUUUCCAUAUCAUACAUUUUCAACUCGCUAUGGCGAGCGACAACUAGGGUCACUUGCGAGGCGAGGGAAAAUUACUCACAAGGCGAGCGAUGAAGUUCAUCACUCGCGAGGCGAGGACAACUACUCGCUAAGGCGAGCGAUGAAUGUCAGCUCGGACAGAAUGCAGAUUUUCUCAAAAAACUCAUCCAAUUCCAUAUUCUAAUCAUUGUUCUAUGAAUAGUCUAAGGUCUGGUCACUAAUUCUACAUCAAUUUAACAGGUUCCUACUCUUAAUUAAUCAAUUCACCAACUUUUAACCUAAUUCUCAAAUCCUCAAAACUACAACCUACAACAUGUUAAAUUCAAUUCUCAGAAUUAUACAACUUAGAAUUAAAGAAGGUUAGUCUCAUCCUUACCUUAGGUUAAUCGAUUGCAAGCUUCUCUUCUUUGGUUCUUCUCUUCUCUUGUUUUCUCCAAAAACUUAUUUCACGUGAAAACUAUUCUGACUCUACUUUCUCCUAUUUAUUUCCUCAACCCUCUUUAUCUUAUUUCCACUUAUUCCACUAAACUCUUCUAAAUUCCAAAACAGUCCCCACAACUUAAUCUUAUUUUAUUUUCAAAUCUUAUUCUAUUAAAAAAAAAAAAUAAGCCACUUAAUAAUCAACAACACAUCACAUAAUCAUAUAAAUUGCAUAAGUCAUAUAAAUAGACUCUAAACUCAAUAAAAUAAUCAAAUAAUUGAAUAGGGCGUUACAGUCUACAUUUGAUUUUUAUGAAGAGAUUUGUAUAUAAUAGAGAUAAAGAUGUUCUUAUAGUACAAAUAAAAAAAUUAAACAUAGAAUUUAAAUCAUGAAAGUUGUCUAUUUUUUAGUUUGAAAAUUCAAAAUUUUAUUUUUCAAUACAAAGUUAAUUUGUUUUAUUAUAAUUUUACCUUUUUAACUUAUGUCUUUAAGGCACAAUUUAGCAAGAACAUUAUUCUUACAAUGACAUGUUCCAGUAUAUUCCUUUCUAAAUAUAAUUUUUAAACAAUUUUGUCGAACCAUUGGUGUAUGCUUUACACCUUGAAAUGCGAUCAUGUCAAGGUAUCAAAUUUGAAUCCUCUUAUGCAAAUUUGAGUAGGCUAGCGUGUACAGAGUUUGCUUUGCCUUUAAAUGGCCUCCUCUAGUGGAUAUGCCAAUGGCUACCGAGAUUAAUCGAUCAUUGAAUCGGAUACCGAGUUUUUAAAAAAAAUCAUUAACACACUUUCCCAAUUUAAUCUAAAAAUUUAAUUGAAAAAAAAUGAAGCUACUUUUUUUAUUUGUUUACAAUUUUUUUAAAGAAAAACAACUAAAAAAAACUUUAUAUUUUGGUGCAUCUCACUCAGAUUCAAUCCAAAUGUGAUUGGUACCAUUUUUGGUAAAUUUUUGUUUUUUUAGAGAGUAAACUUGGUAAUAUUGUACUAACAAUAAUCAACUCAUAAACAUUCUUUCUUCACCAUUUUUUUUGGUAAUAAAUGAGUAUUUUUUUUUUUAGGAAAUGGAUCCU